UAACAAUAGAAAAUACAUUACUUCAACAAGUUUUAGUUUUUUACGCAUAUAAGUUAUGAAUAAUCUUCUAUGAAAUGAUUUAUCUAAAUCUAAUUCCCUGCAAGAUGCCUGUUAAAAAGAAAAACUGAAGAAACUUUAAAACUAGAUGAUGGCAACUGAAGAAGCCUCUACUUCAAUCUGGCUGUUGUUAUAACACGUAUAUUGAUUUAUAUACUGUUGAGUUAGCUUGCGAUUUGUACGUGUGUUUUUGAUUGCCUAGUGUUUGUUAGUUAUAUGCAAGAUAUGACUAAAUAAUAUUAUCAAUAAAUAUUUUUAUCUAUACUUUGUAAAUAUAUAUGCUAUAAAUUAUUAUAUUAUUUAAAUGUUUAUUUUUAAUUUAUAAAAUUAGUGUAAAAGUGGAUGAAAACACUAAAGAAGCGUAACAAUAAACUUUAUAGUGGCGAUAUGAGAGAACUAAUGUGUCAGUGAUUAUGGUGGUGAUAUGAGAGAACUAAUGUGGCAGUAUAUUACUAUCGUAGUACAGUUUUGCAUCAAAGUUUUUUGUUGCUUUAAAUAUUAUGAAAUUCAAA